rnacentral:rRNA from 1 species
CCUACGGGAGGCAGCAGUGAGGAAUAUUGGUCAAUGGGCGCGAGCCUGAACCAGCCAAGUAGCGUGAAGGAUGACUGCCCUACGGGUUGUAAACUUCUUUUAUAAAGGAAUAAAGUGCAGCACGUGUGCCUUUUUGUAUGUACUUUAUGAAUAAGGAACGGCUAACCCCGCGCCAGCAGCCGCGGCAAUACGGAGGGGACGAGCGUUAUCUGGAUUUAUUGGGUUUAAAGGGAGCGUAGAUGGGUUGUUGAGUCAGUUGUGAAAGGUUGCGGCUCAACCGUAAAAUUGCAAUUGAUACUGGCAGUCUUGAGUACAGUUGAGGUAGGUGGAAUUCGUGGUGUAGCGGUGAAAUGCUUAGAUAUCACGAAGAACCCCGAUUGCGAAGGCAGCUUACUAAACUGUGACUGACAUUGAUGCGCGAAAGUGUGGGUAUCAAACAGGAUUAGAUACCCGUGUAGUC